GUGUCCAGGCCAACAUCGGUUCUGGGGGUCGGUUAAAGACCCUGGGAAUGUAUCUACCCUUCGGGCGUAGACUUAUAGCCCAGGGUGUCAUGCGGCCUCCCGGGACCGAGGUACGCGCUUCGGCUCGGAUGUUGGCGUAAUGGUUGUCAGCGA
rnacentral:rRNA from 1 species